rfam:Pediococcus cellicola strain DSM 17757 Scaffold12, whole genome shotgun sequence.
AAAUUACUUUGGUGUACGCGUUGCUUCAUUUAUGUACUGCCGAUCAAAUAAUUUGUUUAGGAACUAAGGGUGUUUGGUGGCAUGUAGGCCUUUAAUUAGGAAACUUAAAGCCAAACCAAUUGGUCCCACCGCUAAUAUACUUGCGGGCUUUCACUGAGAAGCGAUUAACGGCACCAUAAAGUGUUUCC